rnacentral:piRNA from 1 species
UGGGUCACAAAUACUAACUUUAAAAGAAGCA